UGGGGAAUAUUGCACAAUGGGCGCAAGCCUGAUGCAGCCAUGCCGCGUGUGUGAAGAAGGCCUUCGGGUUGUAAAGCACUUUCAGCGAGGAGGAAGGUGGUGAGCUUAAUACGCUCAUCAAUUGACGUUACUCGCAGAAGAAGCACCGGCUAACUCCGUGCCAGCAGCCGCGGUAAUACGGAGGGUGCAAGCGUUAAUCGGAAUUACUGGGCGUAAAGCGCACGCAGGCGGUUUGUUAAGUCAGAUGUGAAAUCCCCGGGCUCAACCUGGGAACUGCAUUUGAAACUGGCAAGCUAGAGUCUCGUAGAGGGGGGUAGAAUUCCAGGUGUAGCGGUGAAAUGCGUAGAGAUCUGGAGGAAUACCGGUGGCGAAGGCGGCCCCCUGGACGAAGACUGACGCUCAGGUGCGAAAGGCGUGGGGCAGCAAACAGGAUUAGAUACCCUGGUAGUCCACGCUGUAAACGAUGUCGAUUUUGGAGGUUGUGCCCCUUGAGGCGUGGCUUCCGGAGCUAACGCGUUAAAUCGACCGCCUGGGGAGUACGGCCGCAAGGUUAAAACUCAAAUGAAUUGCGGGGUCUAGCUG
rnacentral:rRNA from 1 species